UGCCAGCCGCCGCGGUAAUACGGAGGGUGCAAGCGCUAUUCGGAAUUACUGGGCGUAAAGCGCGUGUAGGUGGUUCGGAAAGUCGGGUGUGAAAUCCCGGGGCUCAACCCCGGAACUGCAUCCGAUACUGCCGGACUCGAGUCUCGGAGGGGAGGGCGGAAUUCCCAAUGUAGGGGUGAAAUCCGUAGAUAUUGGGAGGAACACCAGUGGCGAAGGCGGCCCUCUGGACGAUGACUGACACUGAGACGCGAAAGCGUGGGGAGCAAACAGGAUUAGAUA
rnacentral:rRNA from 1 species